UACGUAGGGGGCAAGCGUUAUCCGGAUUUACUGGGUGUAAAGGGAGCGUAGACGGCUUUGCAAGCCAGAUGUGAAAGCCCGGGGCUCGACCCCGGGACUGCAUUUGGAACUGUAUGGCUGGAGUGUCGGAGAGGCAGGCGGAAUUCCUAGUGUAGCGGUGAAAUGCGUAGAUAUUAGGAGGAACACCAGUGGCGAAGGCGGCCUGCUGGACGAUGACUGACGUUGAGGCUCGAAAGCGUGGGGAGCAAACAGG
rnacentral:rRNA from 1 species